GAUGAAGAACGCAGCGAAAUGCGAUAAGUAAUGUGAAUUGCAGAAUUCAGUGAAUCAUCGAAUCUUUGAACGCACAUUGCGCCCCUUGGUAUUCCGAGGGGCAUGCCUGUUCGAGCGUCAUUAUAACACUCAAGCUCAGCUUGGUGUUGGGGCCUGCUGCAGUGGCAGCCCUUAAAAUCAGUGGCGGCGCCAUCUGGCUCUAAGCGUAGUAAUUCUUCUCGCUAUGGAGUCCUGGUGGAUGCUUGCCAUCAACCCCCAAUUUUUCUAUGGUUGACCUCGGAUCAGGUAGGGAUACCCGCUGAACUUAAGCAUAUCAAUAAGCGGAGGA
rnacentral:misc_RNA from 1 species